rnacentral:rRNA from 1 species
GUGGGGAAUAUUGGACAAUGGGCGGAAGCCUGAUCCAGCCAUGCCGCGUGUGUGAAGAAGGUCUUCGGAUUGUAAAGCACUUUAAGUUGGGAGGAAGGGCAGUAAGCUAAUACCUUGCUGUUUUGACGUUACCGACAGAAUAAGCACCGGCUAACUUCGUGCCAGCAGCCGCGGUAAUACGAAGGGUGCAAGCGUUAAUCGGAAUUACUGGGCGUAAAGCGCGCGUAGGUGGUUUUGUAAGUUGGAGGUGAAAUCCCCGGGCUCAACCUGGGAACUGCCUCCAAAACUGCAUGACUAGAGUACGGUAGAGGGUAGUGGAAUUUCCUGUGUAGCGGUGAAAUGCGUAGAUAUAGGAAGGAACACCAGUGGCGAAGGCGACUACCUGGACUGAUACUGACACUGAGGUGCGAAAGCGUGGGGAGCAAACAGGAUUAGAAACCCUUGUAGUCC